UCCUGGAGAGCUACCCUCUUGUAGGCUUUUGCUCCAACCCCACUUGUGACUAACCUGGUUCAGUUUAUAAACCAGCUAAUUAUUAGAAUCAGGUGUGCUAGAUUAGCGUUGGAGUGAAAACCUAAAGGACUGUAGCUCCCCAGGAACAGGGUUGGUGGGCCCUGUGUAGAACCACCAAAAAGAAAUAUGGAUAUUUUCUAUCAUUCUUUGAAAUUGAUCUGCCCUUCACAUACUAUAUUUAUAUAAGCUGUACAGUGCUUUCUGUAGCAACAAACAAAUGCUAGACAUUCAGAUUUCCAAAGAACGUUUGUUUAUUUGUCAAAUUCUAAAAUACAUGGGAGUGUAUACUAUUUAAUGCCAACUCAACUGGGUAUCAACUGGGUAUUGAACAAGAAUGUUAUAUGGUAAAAGUAACUUUAAAAAAAAUAGAUGAACAUUGUAGUAUAGUUCAGUGUGUCCAAGUGCUACUCAGAUGUAGAGACAUACGAGUGCAGAGAACUGUAGCUACAGAUUGUUAGACCAGAUAGUGUGAUUUAACCAAAGAUUUUUGCAGACAUCUUGUCUAUUUCAAGUCUUCUCUCAUUGAUCGAGACAGGUGGUGGUGUCCACCCCAAAGCGGCAUUUGAAGGUAAACAUUUGAACGUAAACAGCGUUUUUUUGGCAAAAAUGAAUUCUGGAAUAUGUGAACUUUCAUGUGCAUUAAUAACAAACCUGUAUUCUAUCCAUAAAUACGAUUGUUAAAUUACGAGCAUAGUUGGUUUAGCCACGGAAAAAGUAAGGAACCUUCCCGCUAGCCAUGAUUGGCUGAGAUAAUGGAUAGGUUGGACAUGCUGGGAGAUGAGUUUGGAUUGGUCUGCCAUGUAGCAUGCAUCUGUCUAUAACGUGAGCUGUUCACUAUGUGUUGACAGUCCUUUCUACCAUGACAUUUUUGAAAGAUAUAACGUUAGAACUACAAAAGUUUUGCUAACUUUUCUCAACAACAUUGAUGCCCUAAAUUUAGCAGGGGCUAUUGACAGAUCAGUUGGAAAAAGGGAUGGGCUACUUUCUGCACAUGCCAUGGUCAGUGUGAACCAGAGUGACUUGGUACAACGCUGACCAAACAAGAUGUAACUACAAACAAGAGAUAAUUGGUUCCAGUCUGCUGUGAAGUGUUCAUCCAUGUAUGCGGCUCAGGUUGCAGGCUGUAAUGUGUGCCAAUGACCUGAAGAAGUCGACAGUGUGGCAGAAGCUACCUUGCAUUCUGCCAAAUCGUCUUGCCAUAGUCUCAACCUGGACUGGGGCAGGGUAUAAGGCCUGUUUCAGGGACUUGUUUCUGAAGACCACUCUUCACAGAGCCAUUCGGAAGAGCCCUGCAACCCGGGAUGUCACGGAUAAGGUGGUCCAGAUUCAGGCCACCUGUAACCUGAAAGGGGCCUAUGAUUGUGAAGGCAGGAGGUGGCGGCACACAGGGGAGAGGGAUCCACUGCAGUGAGGGUGAACAUCAAGUCUCUGACCACUUGUCUCAAUGCCACUUUCUACCCCAAGCCACAAGACUGUUCCAACAGCUGAACCCUGGGCUGAUGACUACACCUUACCAUACACUUACCGUUGAUUAAUAUACUGUAAACACUGAAUUAUUUAAAACAAAAUGUAAUUGGUCUACCAGACCAAUGCAAUAGUUGUCACCUUACUGCACUACUAAUGCAUAGAGUAUCCUAUAAUUCUACGCUGCUACUGUACUGUACCUUAUUCCACUCACUAUGUACAUGGGCAAACAAUUUCCAUAGCCUGCUAUAUCCCAAUUAGGCCAUUUUUAAAUCUUAUUUUCUUUAAUCUGCAUGCCUCUUGUACUUGAUUUAGUUUAUUUAGUAUUUUUAUUAGUAUGUUGUAUAUUUACAAUGCCCUUUAUUUGUGAUUUGACUGGAUCGGAUUUGUCGUCACCAGUGGAUCCAGGUGACCAGGACUGGCCCUCGUGAUCUGAUAUAUUUUGCACACACAAAAUCAUUUACUGGACUUUUCCAGAAACAUUUUUCAAAUGGACAUGGCAUCCAUUGUAUGUUAAAUAAUACAAAUAUAUAAAAAGUACGUGGUGACAGGGAGAAGGUAUGCCGCUGGCUUGAAGCUGAAAUAAGCGUCUUGCCUCCGACUGGCAGUUGUAGUGUCGCCAGUCGGGAUGAGGGUGCGUGGGCUGUGUGAGGAAAACUGCUGCUUGACAAUAUUGCGGGCUUCCCGUGUAUGAGGCAAUGGGCAAAAAAGCUGGCGCACGGCGCUCGACCACUCUGGAGGGACGCUGGCCUCCCAAGUGCUCAUUGCUAACUGGGUACACAUCCAUAGCAUACAGGUAUUUGUAUCCUCCACUACACCAUUAGCAAGAGAAGAGCCACUGUUACAUUACCUGCAUUGGAAAAUAUCUUCAAUCUCCAACGUUAACGUUACUACAAUAAAGAACAAUGAUAAGUGAUUGACAUUGAAAUAUUUUCUAUUGAACAGUAAGGCAAGCUUACAAAAUUGUACAUACAAUUGCAGUAAAUACUUCAGCUUGCUAGCUAGAUUCUUUACAUCCACUGGGUUUCACAAGAUGACAGCCUGGUUUGGUGGAUUGCUCAGGAGUUCCCAAAACAUUAAACAACAUGAAUUACAAUUCAUACAAAUGUCAAAUGCCAAUAUAGCAAGUCAGCUAGCUUGUUAAAUUGCAAUUUUAGUAAACUAAUUUUAUCACCUAAAAAUAUGCAUACUUGUUCGUCUGUACAUUAACUUACAUAUUACUCUUAAUUGUAUGUUCUGCACGAUUCGUUAUGAAGUUCUAAUUACUUACCUUUGCUUCCAUCCUAGUAUUUUGGUCAACCAUCUUCCUGUAUCCACUUUAGAGCCUCGGGUCGCAGAGCUUCAUGGGAGUUUGGAUAACCAUGCAAUAUAAAUUCUAAAUGUCAAUGCGACUUAAUUUGGAGGGUGAACAAGAGGAAAAGAGGGUAGCUGCAUCCCAAUGUGGCAACUGGAGUAAGUGCAGGUGGGUGUGUCGAAAGGAAAGUAGUGGAUGUGUCAAAAGGAAAGUAGUGGGUUUGUCGAAAGUCCUCUGCUAUAGGUUAGAUGGUUUUGAUUGAGCUGUGUUUUUUUUCCCGUUUCUUACCAUGCAACUACCAUACAUUGAGCUACGGUUCCUUGAGAGUUUGGACCUCUGUUUUUAAACCAGAGGUUGAGUCUGAGUCGUAUCUCACUGUUAAUUUUACACGCAUAAUUGAACAUUUUCAGUUAUAACUGAUGAUUGUUUAGUUUUUAUUAAAAUAA